rnacentral:rRNA from 1 species
GACGUAGGGCGCGAGCGUUGUCCGGAUUUAUUGGCGUAAAGAGCUCGUAGGCGGCUUGUUGCGUCGGCUGUGAAAUCCCAUGGCUCAACUGUGGGCUUGCAGCCGAUACGGGCGGGCUAGAGUUCGGUAGGGGAGACGUGAAUUCCUGGUGUAGCGGUGGAAUGCGCAGAUAUCAGGAGGAACACCGAUGGCGAAGGCAGAUCUCUGGGCCGUAACUGACGCUGAGGAGCGAAAGCGUGGGAGCAAACAGG